UACGUAGGGUGCGAGCGUUAAUCGGAAUUACUGGGCGUAAAGCGUGCGCAGGCGGUUCGCCAAGUCAGGUGUGAAAUCCCCGGGCUUAACCUGGGAAUUGCGCUUGAAACUAGCGGGCUUGAGUGUGGCAGAGGGGGGUGGAAUUCCACGUGUAGCAGUGAAAUGCGUAGAGAUGUGGAGGAACACCGAUGGCGAAGGCAGCCUUCUGGGCCAACACUGACGCUCAUGCACGAAAGCGUGGGGAGCAAACAGG
rnacentral:rRNA from 1 species